rnacentral:rRNA from 1 species
AGUGAACGCUGGCGGCGUGGAUUAGGCAUGCAAGUCGAGCGAUCCCGCAAGGGAUAGCGGCAAAAGAGUGAGUAACACGUAAGUAAUCUUCCCUUAAGACGAGAAUAGCACUGUGAAAACGGUGGUAAUACUCGAUGUUCUCAAGGUUCCGCAAUGGACGAAAGUCCGUAAGGCCCGUCACUUGAGGAUGAGCUUGCGUACCAUCAGCUAGUUGGUAGGGUAACGGCCUACCAAGGCUAAGACGGUUAGCUGGUCUGAGAGGACGGUCAGCCACACUGGGACUGAGACACUGCCCAGACUCCUACGGGAGGCUGCAGUCGAGGAUAUUUAGCAAUGGACGAAAGUCUGACUAUGCGACGCCGCGUGCAGGAUGAAGGUCUUCGGAUUGUAAACUGCUUUUGUUAGGGGAGAAACCUGAAACGCUAAUAACGUUUCAGCUGACGGUACCUGACGAAUAAGCCACGGCAAACUCUGUG